UCAGGAUUUGAAUGUAAGUAUGUUUAAUUAGGCUAAAUAUGAAUUCAAUAAACUGCAGCAACAAUGCCACCUUCUACUGCUACGUAACAUUACGUACAGGUGUAUGUAAGUAGGCUAAUUUCCAUUAAUAGGCUAAUCAAAUAAAUUGCAAGCCACACUCAUAAACCCUGCGAUGUUCCAGUGAAUUCUAACGGGCCAUUGGUAAGCAUGUAUCUACAUGAAUUCAGCAAACCCUUCUGGAGUUUCAGUGACGUUCGAAGCUUCGGACGUCAUCAGUCACAUGCUUAUUUCAAUUUGAUACAAGCUCACUGUUUCGAACCAGUGUGCUUUGCGGAAGUGAUACAAGCUUCGGUGCCUCGGUGUCAAACGUCCCAUCACUACUCUCUAUGAGAGUGCGUUCUCUGCAUAUUCAUUCAGGGACAAAGGAACAAACGGAGGCUGCACUAGCAUCACCAGAAGGGAGAGAUGAGGAGGAGAGGGAAAGCAAAAGACAAGCAGGGAGGCAGAGGCCAAAGAAAGAUGUUGAAUAGAUUAUUUGCUAUAUUAGAGAUUGCCAUUCAAAAAAUAAAUGCAUCAAAUUAA